rnacentral:rRNA from 1 species
GCUAGCUACAGGCUUAACACAUGCAAGUCGAGGGGCAGCAUGGUCUUAGCUUGCUAAGGCCGAUGGCGACCGGCGCACGGGUGAGUAACACGUAUCCAACCUGCCGUCUACUCUUGGACAGCCUUCUGAAAGGAAGAUUAAUACAAGAUGGCAUCAUGAGUCCGCAUGUUCACAUGAUUAAAGGUAUUCCGGUAGACGAUGGGGAUGCGUUCCAUUAGAUAGUAGGCGGGGUAACGGCCCACCUAGUCUUCGAUGGAUAGGGGUUCUGAGAGGAAGGUCCCCCACAUUGGAACUGAGACACGGUCCAAACUCCUACGGGAGGCAGCAGUGAGGAAUAUUGGUCAAUGGGCGAGAGCCUGAACCAGCCAAGUAGCGUGAAGGAUGACUGCCCUAUGGGUUGUAAACUUCUUUUAUAAAGGAAUAAAGUCGGGUAUGCAUACCCGUUUGCAUGUACUUUAUGAAUAAGGAUCGGCUAACUCCGUGCCAGCAGCCGCGGUAAUACGGAGGAUCCGAGCGUUAUCCGGAUUUAUUGGGUUUAAAGGGAGCGUAGAUGGAUGUUUAAGUCAGUUGUGAAAGUUUGCGGCUCAACCGUAAAAUUGCAGUUGAUACUGGAUAUCUUGAGUGCAGUUGAGGCAGGCGGAAUUCGUGGUGUAGCGGUGAAAUGCUUAGAUAUCACGAAGAACUCCGAUUGCGAAGGCAGCCUGCUAAGCUGCAACUGACAUUGAGGCUCGAAAGUGUGGGUAUCAAACAGGAUUAGAUACCCUGGUAGUCCACACGGUAAACGAUGAAUACUCGCUGUUUGCGAUAUACGGCAAGCGGCCAAGCGAAAGCGUUAAGUAUUCCACCUGGGGAGUACGCCGGCAACGGUGAAACUCAAAGGAAUUGACGGGGGCCCGCACAAGCGGAGGAACAUGUGGUUUAAUUCGAUGAUACGCGAGGAACCUUACCCGGGCUUAAAUUGCAGAUGAAUUACGGUGAAAGCCGUAAGCCGCAAGGCAUCUGUGAAGGUGCUGCAUGGUUGUCGUCAGCUCGUGCCGUGAGGUGUCGGCUUAAGUGCCAUAACGAGCGCAACCCUUGUUGUCAGUUACUAACAGGUUCCGCUGAGGACUCUGACAAGACUGCCAUCGUAAGAUGUGAGGAAGGUGGGGAUGACGUCAAAUCAGCACGGCCCUUACGUCCGGGGCUACACACGUGUUACAAUGGGGGGUACAGAGGGCCGCUACCACGCGAGUGGAUGCCAAUCCCAAAAACCUCUCUCAGUUCGGACUGGAGUCUGCAACCCGACUCCACGAAGCUGGAUUCGCUAGUAAUCGCGCAUCAGCCACGGCGCGGUGAAUACGUUCCCGGGCCUUGUACACACCGCCCGUCAAGCCAUGGGAGCCGGGGGUACCUGAAGUGCGUAACCGCGAGGAGCGCCCUAGGGUAAAACUGGUGACUGGGGCUAAGUC